AUAAAGUCAGGGAACUACUUCUGGGGGCUGUACAUGUACCACAAAAAGUAAUCCAUAGCUUUUUCUGUUUUAUAUCAGAGUAAUCUUCAAAAUUUAUGAGUAUGUGAUUGAAUGGAAUAAAAUCUUCCUCUAGUACAAAAAUAUUUUAACAUCAUAGAUGUAUCAUUACCUUCAUUAGCUGACUGUAAAUGGCACAUUUGCCCAAGAAUAUCAAAAUUUCAAAUCUACACAGGAAGUUCUUUGACAGAGAGCAGAAUAGAGUAAAUAUUUGGGAGAGUGUUUCCCUAAAUAUUUUACUAUGUGCAGCUUAUUUCAUCUUGGAAGUUAACAGUAAUUAACAGAAUGCACCAGGUAUAGCAUCAUAUGUGUAUAUAAAGUAUCAGCACACAUGAAUGAAUUGAGACAUGUUUAGUGAUCCAAUGUAUUGUGUUCAAAGUUUCCAUCCAACAGUUCAAAGACAUGUCAUAAAAGUGAAGCAAAUGGUGGCAAAUGAUGGCUUUGUGGUGGUUAGUGAAAAACUGAGGCAAUCUACAUUGGUGGUGGCAAACACUAACAGAAAAUUUCUAGACCAGCAGUGACAUGAAGUUGAUGAAAUAAUGACAUAUUUUACACUGUACUGAAGAUGUAAUUGCGAAAAUCAUUAGGGUUAUCAGUGGAAAACAUUGAUAUACUACAAUAAGAGUGGAACUGACAUUUUAACACUAUUGUUUGUACUAUUAUACAUCACCUAGUUCAAAAUUCAUAAGCAUUUUUGUUAUAUUAUAGACUUUUGGCAUUGAAAAACAUAGUUAUUUAAAGACGUAAAUAAUAUCGUUAUUGUUCUAAAUUAGUUUAAAUGCUGACUGAUUUAAGAACAAUCAAAAUAAAAGGUUGAUUUACAUUUAUUGUUUCAUUUUUAUUGAGUGACCUUACAUUUAGAUUUGUGAUCACUUUUCUGUCUGUCCAUAAAUCCGUAUCAGUCAAAAAUGAUAGUCAGUUCUUAGAUUUUGAAUUUUUUUUUAAAUUAAGGGUAUAUUUUUACUUGUCUGUUAUUGUGUUUUAAUUUUCUUUUAAUGCUCUUUGAUAUGCAGACCUAAUUGCAGGAAU
rnacentral:lncRNA from 1 species